UACGGGAGCUGUGCAUGAAGAAC
rnacentral:piRNA from 1 species